rnacentral:rRNA from 1 species
GUAGUACAGGUGCUGCAUGGCUGUCGUCAGCUCGUGUCGUGAGAUGUUGGGUUAAGUCCCGCAACGAGCGCAACCCUUUUCCUAUUUGCCAGCGGGUCAUGCCGGGAACUUUAAGGAUACUGCCAGUGACAAACUGGAGGAAGGCGGGGACGACGUCAAGUCAUCAUGGCCCUUACGGCCAGGGCUACACACGUGCUACAAUGGUCGGUACAAAGGGUUGCUACCUCGCGAGAGGAUGCUAAUCUCAAAAAGCCGAUCGUAGUCCGGAUCGCAGUCUGCAACUCGACUGCGUGAAGUCGGAAUCGCUAGUAAUCGCGGAUCAGAAUGCCGCGGUGAAUACGUUCCCGGGCCUUGUACACACCGCCCGUCACACCAUGGGAGUUUGUUGCACCAGAAGUAGGUAGUCUAACCGCAAGGAGGACGCUUACCACGGUGUGGCCGAUGACUGGGGUGAAGUCGUAACAAGGUAGGCGUAGAUGA